rnacentral:rRNA from 1 species
GACGAACGCUGGCGGCGUGCUUAACACAUGCAAGUCGAACGGUAAGGCCCUUCGGGGAACACGAGUGGCGAACGGGUGAGUAACACGUGGGUGAUCUGCCCUGCACUUCGGGAUAAGCCUGGGAAACUGGGUCUAAUACCGGAUAGGACUCCGGACUGCAUGGUCUGGGGUGGAAAGCUUUUGCGGUGUGGGAUGGGCCCGCGGCCUAUCAGCUUGUUGGUGGGGUGAUGGCCUACCAAGGCGACGACGGGUAGCCGGCCUGAGAGGGUGGCCGGCCACACUGGGACUGAGAUACGGCCCAGACUCCGACGGGAGGCAGCAGUGGGGAAUAUUGCACAAUGGGCGCAAGCCUGAUGCAGCGACGCCGCGUGAGGGAUGACGGCCUUCGGGUUGUAAACCUCUUUCAGCAUCGACGAAGCGAAAGUGACGGUAGGUGCAGAAGAAGGACCGGCCAACUACGUGCCAGCAGCCGCCGUAA